rnacentral:lncRNA from 1 species
GGUGCUCGGUAGUUUCGGGAUUGGUCAAGUAUGGUACAAACAGUUUUAAUAUUGUUUUCAAUUAUCAUGAACAUGUGGAACUAAUUUCUUUUUAGUUAGAGGUAAAUUUGAAGCCAUGAUUAUAUGUUUUAUAUGAAUUGAUUACAUCCAGUUAUUGUUUCUUGAGUCUUGAAUGUGAUUUGCUUAUCUGAGUUAUCAAAACUUAUUUAUGUAUGUUGAUUGAGGAUGCAUACUUAAUUUUCUUGCAUAAACUUGAUGCUAGAGUAUAAGGGAGUUCCACUUAAUCGUUAUGAACUUAUAUUCACAAGUAGUAAAAGUCACUAAUCAUGAUUGUGUUACGUGAAUCCUAGGCAGGAGUAUCAUGUUUUUCAUAGUUACGAAUGCCUCGUCAAUACUUAUGGUUUUCAAGGAACUUAAUGACCUUUGAUAUGUCUCUUUAUCAUGCUUUUCAUAGUUAGGGAACUUGAUAAGGAUAAUUUGGUUGUGAUGCGUAUCCAGUCCAAUUCAAUGAGUUAAGGAAAAUCUAAUGGUUAAUUCGUGUUGUCACGUUUAACUUGGGGUGUUGUCAUUCAUGGUUUAAGGGAACAAUACUGGAAACUGGUUUAUAUGCAUAUGUCAUGUGUGGAAAAGGAUUCUCUAGCUAAGUUUUCACCAUUCAAAUCAUCUAAUUUACUUUGUUUUGCAAUUUGUUUAGUUUAGUUAAAUUUCGUCCAAAUCAAUCCCCAUUUUAAUUAAAUGUCUUAGAUUAGUUAGAAAAGUGUUUAAAUCUAUCCAAAUUAGUGUUUUGAGUCCUACUAGUCUUAAAUUCGUCCAAAUAACUCCUUAGAGUCUGUUUUGAGUCUUUUUUAUUGUUUGUUGCUGUUUUGAGUGUUUUGAGUCUAUAGAGUCUAAUUUAGUGUUUUUGAGUCUUAUUUGUGUUGAUUAGCAUCCCUAGUUAAUGACCGGUCUAGAACGAUCCCUACUUGCUUAAUACUACAAUUACAUGUUUAAUAGGGUUUAAUUUAUAUGUCAAGUUAAUUUUCACAUCAUCUGGGCCCAAGCCCAGACAACCCUAAACCCAUCCAACCCAAAGCCUUUGUCCUUAUAACCCAUCUAACCUAAACCCAAAAACCCUAGGACCCAUGACCGGGUUUGACUUCAACCCAUUGACCCGUUUGACCUGUUGACCCGGUUGA